rnacentral:rRNA from 1 species
AGGAUGAACGCUAGCGGGAGGCUUAACACAUGCAAGUCGAGGGGCAGCACGAUCCCGAGUAAUCGGGAUUGGUGGCGACCGGCGCACGGGUGAGUAACGCGUAUGCAACCUUCCUUUUACAGGAGGAUAGCUUCCGGAAACGGAAAUUAAUACUCCAUACAAUUACGAAGUGGCAUCACUUUCAGAUUAAAGCUGAGGCGGUAAAAGAUGGGCAUGCGUAACAUUAGCUUGUUGGUGAGGUAAGGGCUCACCAAGGCGACGAUGUUUAGGGGUCCUGAGAGGGUUAUCCCCCACACUGGUACUGAGACACGGACCAGACUCCUACGGGAGGCAGCAGUGAGGAAUAUUGGUCAAUGGGCGCAAGCCUGAACCAGCCAUCCCGCGUGCAGGAAGACGGCCCUAUGGGUUGUAAACUGCUUUUCUGAGGGAAGAAUAAUCCCGAGUUACUCGGGAGUCGACGGUACCUCAGGAAUAAGCAUCGGCUAACUCCGUGCCAGCAGCCGCGGUAAUACGGAGGAUGCAGGCGUUAUCCGGAUUUAUUAGGUUUAAAGGGUGUCUAGGCUGCCACAUAAGUCAGGGGUGAAAGUCGGUUGCUCAACAAUCGAAUUGCCUUUGAAACUGUGUGGCUCGAGUAUAGAUGAGGUAGGCGGAAUGUGUAGUGUAGCGGUGAAAUGCAUAGAUAUUACACAGAACCCCAAUUGCGAAGGCAGCUUACCAAACUAUUACUGACGCUGAAGCACGAAAGCGUGGGUAGCGAACAGGAUUAGAUACCCUGGUAGUCCACGCCGUAAACUAUGCUCACUCGCUGUUGGCAAUAGAUCGUCAGCGGCUAAGGGAAACCGAUAAGUGAGCCACCUGGGGAGUACGAUCGCAAGAUUGAAACUCAAAGGAAUUGACGGGGGCCCGCACAAGCGGAGGAACAUGUGGUUUAAUUCGAUGAUACGCGAGGAACCUUACCUGGGCUUAAAUGUAGAGUGCAUAAAGUGGAAACAUUUUUUUCCUUCGGGACUCUUUACAAGGUGCUGCAUGGUUGUCGUCAGCUCGUGCCGUGAGGUGUCGGGUUAAGUCCCAUAACGAGCGCAACCCCUAUCGUUAGUUACCAGCACGUAGUGGUGGGGACUCUAGCGAAACUGCCGGUGUAAACCGUGAGGAAGGUGGGGAUGACGUCAGAUCAGCACGGCCCUUAUGUCCAGGGCUACACACGUGUUACAAUGGUCGGUACAGUGGGCAGCCACAUAGCAAUAUGGAGCUAAUCUCAAAAGCCGAUCUCAGUUCGGAUUGGAGUCUGCAACCCGACUCCAUGAAGGUGGAUUCGCUAGUAAUCGCGCAUCAGCCAUGGCGCGGUGAAUACGUUCCCGGGCCUUGUACACACCGCCCGUCAAGCCAUGGAAGUUUGGGGUGCCUGAAGUUCGUAACCGCAAGGAGCGACACUAGGGUAAAACAAAUGACUGGGGCUAAGUCGU